GCGGGUGUGGCGGAACUGGCAGACGCACCAGAUUUAGGUUCUGGCGCCGCGAGGCGUGGGGGUUCAAGUCCCUCCACCCGCACCA
rnacentral:tRNA from 2 species